GAAGAAGGGUUUCGGCUCGUAAAACUCUGUUGUUAAAGAAGAACACCUUUGAGAGUAACUGUUCAAGGGUUGACGGUAUUUAACCAGAAAGCCACGGCUAACUACGUGCCAGCAGCCGCGGUAAUACGUAGGUGGCAAGCGUUGUCCGGAUUUAUUGGGCGUAAAGCGAGCGCAGGCGGUUUUUUAAGUCUGAUGUGAAAGCCUUCGGCUUAACCGGAGAAGUGCAUCGGAAACUGGGAGACUUGAGUGCAGAAGAGGACAGUGGAACUCCAUGUGUAGCGGUGGAAUGC
rnacentral:rRNA from 1 species